AUAACGUUGUCUUUUUAGCAAUUUUGCCAUGUAAAGAACUCAAAUUCAUAGUUACUAUUAACCUUUGUUGUGACGGUAAUAUCUUGUGUUAAUGUAAUACUUCUUGCAUUUUCAUGCACCCCAUUCAUUGAGUGCGUCCUAUUUCAUAGGUAUCGUGAACUUACAGUCCUAUGUAAGUCUAAUGAUGCUACAUCUUAUAAAUAAAGGAAUUAAGUUUAGAGAAAGAGGUGAUCAUCGGAGGUGGACGUGAUCUCUUCAGGUGUCAUAGACAAGAUGAACCAAAACUGGAUCUGGAAUUAUGGCCAAGAUUUGGAAAGGAACAGAAGAGGGCAUCCCGAUUUUGAAAAAACUACUAGAAUAAGAAACAGGAAGAAAUGUCACAUGGAAUCAUUAAAAUCAUAAAUUCUCCUAUCUUCUUGUGGAAAAAUUAUGCAGACUCUGACUGAAAAAUAAUGUGGUGACUAAAGCAGAAGAUUAGUGAGAACAUCAUUGCCUUUGAUUGUCCUUCAAUAUCACCUGUGGUUCUAAGGAAGUGGCAGAUCUGAAGAGCUGAAAUGUAAUGUAAUAUGCUGACUCGUUUGCCUGAUGGAUGUGUGACUGCCCUCUGUUGGAUGAAAUUAGAUCUGCUCUUAUAUGUUAGACUGUCUUGCCCUCUAGUGGUUUGUGCAGAAGAUAGUAAUGAAGACAUUGGAGAAUACUGCAUGAAGAAUCAGGACGAACACGUCUUGUCUUUUCGACUCUGUUCUCAUUGCAACAAACACAGGAAAGGAGAAGAAAGGGACACAGCCCCCGGGCUCACUUGUGAGAUCAGAAAACCAGGUGGCCAUUUGUUGGAGGAAACUGUUUCUGGUGCCUGA
rnacentral:lncRNA from 1 species